rnacentral:lncRNA from 1 species
UUUCUUUCUAACCAAAUACUGUAAAGCAUUUCAGCAAAGACCAUUUUCAUCAUUUGAGCUCGACCAGAUUUCCCUUUAGACUUGGUUAUGAUCAACUGAAUGUAUUGCUCCCAAUUCUGGUAAUUGUCUUGAGUUACUCCAAUCCACUGUGAAGUGUGAUGUCUCAGCAAGGAGAUGAAUGAACAUGAGAAGAACAGAUCAUCCCUAGUCUCCUUAUCUUGUUGGCA